rnacentral:rRNA from 1 species
GAUGAACGCUAGCUACAGGCUUAACACAUGCAAGUCGCAGGGUAACAUGAGGAAAGCUUGCUUUCCUUGAUGACGACUGGCGCACGGGUGAGUAACGCGUAUCCAACCUUCCCAUAACUACGGGAUAACCCGUUGAAAGACGGCCUAAUACCGUAUGAUAUCGUUUGCUGACAUCAAAUAACGAUUAAAGGUUUAGCGGUUAUGGAUGGGGAUGCGUCUGAUUAGCUUGUUGGCGGGGUAACGGCCCACCAAGGCGACGAUCAGUAGGGGUUCUGAGAGGAAGGUCCCCCAUAUUGGAACUGAGACACGGUCCAAACUCCUACGGGAGGCAGCAGUGAGGAAUAUUGGUCAAUGGGCGAGAGCCUGAACCAGCCAAGUAGCGUGCAGGACGACGGCCCUAUGGGUUGUAAACUGCUUUUAUGUGGGGAUAAAGUGCGUGACGUGUCAUGCAUUGCAGGUACCACAUGAAUAAGGACCGGCUAAUUCCGUG